CAGGCGCAAGAGUCAUUUAUCCCGCCGGAAUAAUAGCAGCAGCGCCCUACAUCCGCCCACAAAGCUACUUGUGUUUCGCGUUUUAUACUUGCGUUUCAGAUUGUUAAAAUCGGGCCCUUAUUGUGUUUAAACGCGU